rnacentral:rRNA from 1 species
UUUAUGGAGAGUUUGAUCCUGGCUCAGGAUGAACGCUGGCGGCGUGCCUAAUACAUGCAAGUCGAGCGAACGGACGAGAAGCUUGCUUCUCUGAUGUUAGCGGCGGACGGGUGAGUAACACGUGGAUAACCUACCUAUAAGACUGGGAUAACUUCGGGAAACCGGAGCUAAUACCGGAUAAUAUUUUGAACCGCAUGGUUCAAAAGUGAAAGACGGUCUUGCUGUCACUUAUAGAUGGAUCCGCGCUGCAUUAGCUAGUUGGUAAGGUAACGGCUUACCAAGGCAACGAUGCAUAGCCGACCUGAGAGGGUGAUCGGCCACACUGGAACUGAGACACGGUCCAGACUCCUACGGGAGGCAGCAGUAGGGAAUCUUCCGCAAUGGGCGAAAGCCUGACGGAGCAACGCCGCGUGAGUGAUGAAGGUCUUCGGAUCGUAAAACUCUGUUAUUAGGGAAGAACAUAUGUGUAAGUAACUGUGCACAUCUUGACGGUACCUAAUCAGAAAGCCACGGCUAACUACGUGCCAGCAGCCGCGGUAAUACGUAGGUGGCAAGCGUUAUCCGGAAUUAUUGGGCGUAAAGCGCGCGUAGGCGGUUUUUUAAGUCUGAUGUGAAAGCCCACGGCUCAACCGUGGAGGGUCAUUGGAAACUGGAAAACUUGAGUGCAGAAGAGGAAAGUGGAAUUCCAUGUGUAGCGGUGAAAUGCGCAGAGAUAUGGAGGAACACCAGUGGCGAAGGCGACUUUCUGGUCUGUAACUGACGCUGAUGUGCGAAAGCGUGGGGAUCAAACAGGAUUAGAUACCCUGGUAGUCCACGCCGUAAACGAUGAGUGCUAAGUGUUAGGGGGUUUCCGCCCCUUAGUGCUGCAGCUAACGCAUUAAGCACUCCGCCUGGGGAGUACGACCGCAAGGUUGAAACUCAAAGGAAUUGACGGGGACCCGCACAAGCGGUGGAGCAUGUGGUUUAAUUCGAAGCAACGCGAAGAACCUUACCAAAUCUUGACAUCCUUUGACAACUCUAGAGAUAGAGCCUUCCCCUUCGGGGGACAAAGUGACAGGUGGUGCAUGGUUGUCGUCAGCUCGUGUCGUGAGAUGUUGGGUUAAGUCCCGCAACGAGCGCAACCCUUAAGCUUAGUUGCCAUCAUUAAGUUGGGCACUCUA